GACGGGCCCCGCACAAGCAGCGGAGCGUGUGGUUUAAUUCGAUGUUACACGAAGAACCUUACCUGGGUUUGACAUGCUAGUGGUAAUGAAGCGAAAGCUAAGUGACCCGCAAGGGAGCUAGCACAGGUGCUGCAUGGCUGUCGUCAGCUCGUGUCGUGAGAUGUUCGGUUAAGUCCGCUAACGAGCGCAACCCUCGCUGUGUGUUACAAGUGUCACACAGGACCGCCGGUCUUAAGCCGGAGGAAGGUGGGGAUGACGUCAAGUCAGCAUGGCCUUUAUGUCCAGGGCUACACACACGCUACAAUGGUCAGCACAAUAGGUAGCCAAGCCGCGAGGUGGAGCCAAUCCUCAAAGCUGGCCUCAGUUCAGAUCGCAGGCUGCAACCCGCCUGCGUGAAGCCGGAGUUGCUAGUAACCGCAGGUCAGCUAUACUGCGGUGAAUACGUUCCCGGGGCUU
rnacentral:rRNA from 1 species